UGAAUGUAAUACAAAAAUUGAGCAGCAGUUAAAGUUGAGUCUUUUCUUUCUCACAGAGUAGAAAGUGGUUUUCUGGAUGCUUUCAGUUCAUCAGAAGCUGCCCCAUUUGGACAGAAGGUCAAGCAGAGGAUGGAGCCUGCCUGUCCCCAGCAUGUUCCCUGCCCUGGUGGAAAGAAGGCUGAAACGAUGAAUGCUCAUCCAUUUCCUCCUAGUGAAGAAAUUAACAGAACUUUGGCUGGUGAACAUGGGACAGCCAGAAGCAAACUGCAGAUCUCUCCAUUCAAGGUUUUGUUUGUCCUUUUCGACAUGCAAACUGAAAAAUGAAAGCUUCAUUAUAAAAACUUAAGAUAUACAUAUAUUUGUUUAUUCAGCAUUUAGUACUCAACGUAAAAUGCAUACUUCUGCAGAAAAAGUGUAUUUGUUAUAAGUAUCUAUCUGGGAUUUUCUUUCACAAUUUUUCAAAUAGGCUGUCUCAUUUAGUGAGAAUGACUGUGUGCUACAUGUUGCAUUAGUUGUACCAGACUUCAGGUACAGUAGAUCUUUCUAUAAAGCAUUGACUUACCAAUGCACCUAAACCCAUUAAAGGAUCCAGCAAAGCUACUAAGGUUACUGUAAUGUCUUCACCAUUUCUUGAUAAUCUGUCAAACCGUUCACUGUGGUCUUUAAGUAUCUGGGAGCUUUUCUCUUUCACCCUAGAAUAUGUAGACUAAGUUCCAUUUUUACUGCCUCCUUUGCCUAUGCUGGUUUAUAUUAUAUUAUGUUAUUAUAUAUACUGGUUUAUAUUAUAUUAUAUUAUAUGCUGGUUUAUUUCUGGAUUAUAUUUUUAUUUUUGGAGUAUGAAAUAAGUCAAAAUGCUACUCAACUGUUGUAUGUGCUUUAUCUUGUUUUAAUGCAAGUCUUUACUGUCUUUUAGUAUACUACCUAAAAUACUUGGGAACAAAGCAGUCCGUGUGCUGUCCUAAUGGCUAGUGUUCUGAAAUAAUUUGGGGUCAAAGUCAAUUUGAGAAUGAUAAAACUAAGAAUGAAAUACAUAUUUUAGGAAAUUUACCUUUAGUCUUCUUACUCUGUAUGAUUUAAUAUCCCACCAGUUUACUUAGGCUCUUGACCUAUUGGAUUUUUUUCAAUUUAUCCAUGUCUUGAUAUCAAAAAAACAAUCAACGCAGCUGGCCACCUUUUCAGGAAUAGUUUUUGUUAUCACACUCUACUGCUAAUAGUUACACAGUUCACUCCAAAAGUGAUGCCUCCCAUUUAAUUUCCUGGAAACUACGACAGAUAUGAAGAGCACAAUAACAUUAUUUGAAAGAGCAAAUUCUUAGCUAUGAAACGUUAUUUUUCAGUAUAGACACCAUCAUUAGCUGUGCAUUUUUGCCAGUGAUAGACAAGAGCCUGCAUGUCACACUUGUAAGAAUCUUCAUGGCUGUCUGGAACAUGGCCUAUCUUUGGUCUCCAUAAAUGUUCAGCAAGUGUCGAUGAAUGCCAAUGGGUGCCUUUUCUUUUUUGUUUUUGUUUUUUUUUUGUUUGAAGGAAUUCAAUAACACCCUAUUGCUUCAGAAGCACUUCUGUGUCAGAUGCCACUUUGUCAGACCGCCCCUCUACUUCCAUCGGUUCCUCAGCAAAAAAAAUAUGUAAUGAAAUAUUCGUGGGGAUGCUCAGCUUCUACUGCUAUACCACCAACAUUUACCUUUGAUGUUGUGGGCCAGCAUAAUGAAAUAGGAGGCAUUAUUUUGGGACAACCCUCAUAAUAAUCUUUUGAGACAGCCAUUUAUUUCUGCCCUUGUGAUGUCUAGAUUUUACAAAUGCUGUGUUCUCUAUUCAGAUUGAAUGCAGGUAUUGAAUUGCUAUUAAGAAACAUGAGUAGCUAAUGUACAGAGUUCUAUAUACGUUUAUGGCAGUUCUCAGUUCCCAAGUCUGAUAAAAAUCUGAAAUAGAAAACACAUGUUUUUCAAUGAGGUGUUUUAAGCACAAUAAAUACCUGAAAUUGGUGCA
rnacentral:lncRNA from 1 species